rnacentral:piRNA from 1 species
CAAAAAAGAAAAUGGGGGAAUGAAGGA